rnacentral:misc_RNA from 1 species
UGAUUAAAUUAUUUACAUCACAAAAUUUUCUUUAAACUAUAAAAAUUUCACAUUCAUUUAUUCCAAAUAGAGGGAUACAGAAACCAAGUACGUAAAUAUAAACUUGAUAUAAUAGACAAUAUAUAGGGCUUUAUAUAUUUGAUUACAUUGCGAAAGUUUGUAUAUUAUAUAGCAACAAGUUUUCAGAAUUCAACGUGGAUGCGUGGUGCUAUAUGGAUCUUAUGCAGCGUUGAAAGUAUUGUGUGGACUGAAACGUGCUAUCGGAACACACACAAGUUCAUGGGCUAAUGGAGCUGUGAUUC